rnacentral:rRNA from 1 species
AUUGAACGCUGGCGGCAUGCCUUACACAUGCAAGUCGAACGGUAACAGGUCUUCGGAUGCUGACGAGUGGCGAACGGGUGAGUAAUACAUCGGAACGUGCCCGAGAGUGGGGGAUAACGAAGCGAAAGCUUUGCUAAUACCGCAUACGAUCUCAGGAUGAAAGCAGGGGACCGCAAGGCCUUGCGCUCACGGAGCGGCCGAUGGCAGAUUAGGUAGUUGGUGGGAUAAAAGCUUACCAAGCCGACGAUCUGUAGCUGGUCUGAGAGGACGACCAGCCACACUGGGACUGAGACACGGCCCAGACUCCUACGGGAGGCAGCAGUGGGGAAUUUUGGACAAUGGGCGCAAGCCUGAUCCAGCCAUGCCGCGNGCAGGAUGAAGGCC